GUCAAACGUUUAUUCGCGUUUGUGACGCAUAAAAACACAAAACAGAACAAGCUUUACAUAGAGAACAUGUUUCUUUUUUCAUGAGUUUCUGUUACGAAUUGUUUGUUCUAUUGAGAACAGUGUAUUUGUGAAAAACAAUCUCAAGAGUUCUAUUUUUGUGACGUAUCUAACUUUUUAUAACUGGUAUUUCAGAAGAGAAACCAUUUGAAGAAAAUUGCGGGCUGUGGAGGAAUGCAUGCUGUCUAAAACCAAGAUGGUUGAUGCUCUUUGAUAGAGGAAGAGGACGACCAAAGAUACUAUGGAUGGAUUGUGGGAAAGUCAAUAUGGUAAGAAAGAAUGUUACUUGUGAGAUGACAGCAGAUAGAAGAGUACGGAAGGAGAAUACAUGCUGCGCCGACCACAAUUAAAAUUGGGAUAAGGGCAGGAGGAUGAUGAUGAUGACUUUAACUGAUGAAAACACAUUCACAGUUUUGGCAUUAUCUCCAUACAAGUAAUAUCUAAUUCUUAUCUCUAGUUAGAAAGACAGCAUAGAAAUAGAACAUUGAAAAUGGCAAUUAUAGUAAUUUUAAUUAAU